GGAUGGAUCAAGUCCAAAUAAGAAUCUUGUUAGAAUCUUUCCAUUUCUUCCACCAUGAAAUAGAAUGAAAUAAUGCCAUUUGCAGCAACAUGAAUGGACCAAGAGAUUAUCAAGGGACAGGCUCUCAUGCGAGAUCCAUAUCUGCCUCUGCCUUCCACAAACACUGCAUUUUCGCUUCCUGGCCCUGUAAUCAACUUGGCUGAAACACAGCUACUGCCCAAUCUGAGUUAAACUUUGCUCCCAGAAAGAGACAAGAUACACUGCUUGCUGAAAAUUGAUUUCUAAGGAGAAAAAUAUAAAUCUCAAGAACAUUAAACAACUGAAAUGUUCAAGAUAUAUGGAAAC